rnacentral:rRNA from 1 species
GACGGAGGUCCCGAGCGUUGUUCGGAUUUACUGGGCUUAAAGCGCGUGUAGGCGGGUCGGUGCGUACCUUGUGAAAUCCCCCGGCUCAACCGGGGAACUGCUCGGUAUACGACCGGUCUUGAGGCAGGUAGAGGCGCCUGGAACCUUAGGUGGAGCGGUGAAAUGCGUAGAUAUCUAAGGGAACGCCGGUGGCGAAAGCGGGGCGCUGGGCCUGUCCUGACGCUAAGACGCGAAAGCGUAGGGAG